rnacentral:rRNA from 1 species
UACGGGGGGAGCAAGCGUUGUUCGGAUUUACUGGGCGUAAAGGGCGCGUAGGCGGCCACCGCAAGUCGGUUGUGAAAUCUCUGGGCUUAACCCAGAAAGGUCAACCGAUACUGCGGGGCUAGAGUGCAGAAGGGGCAACUGGAAUUCUCGGUGUAGCGGUGAAAUGCGUAGAUAUCGAGAGGAACACCUGCGGCGAAGGCGGGUUGCUGGGCUGACACUGACGCUGAGACGCGAAAGCGUGGGGAGCGAACAGG